rnacentral:lncRNA from 1 species
UCGCGGUCACAAAUCAAAAAUUUUGUAGGUCACAUAUUAUUUUGAGAUCACAGAUCAUUUAAAUUACAGGUUACAUUUUGGCUAUGGGUCACAUAGAUCACAAUUUAUUGGUCACAAAUUAUUUUUUAGUCACAGACACCUAAUAUUUGGUCACAUAUGCUUAAAUAGAUGGUCACAAAGCCUAAUUGUUAGUCACAAACACCCCAUUCGUCUCCAUCAUCGCCACAGUGCAUCACCGUCGACUACCACACCAUCACCUGUACGGCACCACAGCCACCAACUCACUUAGCCACAUUGCCACACUAUACCACACCGCCACCACACCAUACAAUACCACCAAAUCAAACUCGCCAAACUACACCACACCGCUCACAAUGAGCGCUGCACCGCUGCAGCGAAAAAACCCAAACAUUGACCUUACAGGUACCGCAAUCUGAAGUUGUGAUUACAACGGCCGUCGUCGCAUUGUCAUCAGCAUUGCAGCGACGAGAUCUGAAACUAUUAUAGCGCCAUCAUCUGCAGCGGUUGAGUACAAGUAACUUCAUCGUGGCAUCCCCGCCCAAAAAAUCCCUAAAGCGACAGCUACGCACACUAAAAAAAUCACCAUCGUUACAGCACCAGAGCUCACGUCGCGAGCAGCGCCGCCCAAAAUUGGCAUCACCAUGGCUGCGGGGCUCAAAUUGUCGUGACGAGCUGGAAGCGCCGCUCAUAUCAGGUCUGGUCAGCAUG